GGCCUCGGUGGUGCAGUGGAAGCACGCGUACCUGGUAUGGAUGAAAUGCAGGGUUCAACUCCCGUGAGGCCG